AGUAGAGUCAGCUAAUUAAGCUCUUGGGCCCAUACCCCAAAAAUGUAGGUUAAAAUCCAUCCUUUACUA
rnacentral:tRNA from 1 species